UACGUAGGUGGCAAGCGUUACCCGGAUUUAUUGGGCGUAAAGAGGGCGCAGGCGGCCUCGCAAGUCGGAUGUGAAAUCUCUCGGCUUAACUGGGAGCGGUCAUUCGAAACUACGGAGCUAGAGGACAACAGAAGGAAAUGGAAUUCCCGGUGUAGUGGUGAAAUGCGUAGAUAUCGGGAGGAACACCAGUGGCGAAGGCGGUUUCCUAGGUUGUCCCUGACGCUUAAGCCCGAAGGCGUGGGGAG
rnacentral:rRNA from 1 species